GACGAACGCUGGCGGCGUGCUUAACACAUGCAAGUCGAGCGGUAUGGCCUUUCGGGGUACACGAGCGGCGAACGGGGGAGUAACACGUGGGUGAUCUGCCCUGCACUCUGGGAUAAGCCUGGGAAACUGGGUCUAAUACUGGAUCUGACCUCAGCAUGCCUGUGCUGGGGUGGAAAGCUUUUGUGGUGCAGGAUGGGCCCGCGGCCUAUCAGCUUGUUGUUGGGGUAAUGGCCUCCCACGGCGACGACGGGUAGCCGCCCUGAGAGGGUGACCUGCCACACUGGGACUGAGACACGGCCCAGAGGCCUACGGGAGGCAGAAGUGGGGAAUAUUGCGCAAUGGGCGGAAGCCUGAUGCAGCGACGCCGCGUGAGGGAUGAAGGCCUUCGGGUUGUAAACCUCUUUCAGCAGGGACGAAGCGUGAGUGACGGUACCUGCAGAAGAAGCACCGGCUAACUACGUGCCAGCAGCGGCGGUA
rnacentral:rRNA from 1 species